AAGAAGCAAUACCAGGAAAUAUGUGACAUUCGUCAGCCAGGUAGUCAUUUACUCCAAGCGGCAAAGUUAGAGACUGUCUGACACCGAAAUACUCAUUCUUGGAAAAGGAGUGGAAUGUUUUGUGCUGUGGACACUGCAGAAUUGUGGAUUUGAAAGUUAACUUCUCGCACCUUCUAUAUGACUAAGGUGUAUAAUACAGUAGGAAAGUUGUCAAGAGUGUCGUUAGCCAUUGGACAUGUGGUACAUACAGUUAGUGGUGGAGAAAUGGACCUGGUUAGCCAUUGGACAUGUGGUACAUACAAUUAGUGGUGGAGAAAUGGACCUGGUUAGCCAUUGGACAUGUGGUACAUACAGUUAGUGGUGGAGAAAUGAACCUGGUCAGCCAUUGGACAUGUGGUACAUACAAUUAGUGGUGGAGAAAUGGACCUGGUCAGCCAUUGGACAUGUGGUACAUACAAUUAGUGGUGGAGAAAUGGACCUAGUCAGCCAUUGGACAUGUGGUACAUACAAUUAGUGGUGGAGAAAUGGACCUAGUCAGAUAGUUGGACAAUAAAUGUGUAUGAAACGAUCACCAUGGUGCUUGUCUAAUGGAAAGGGAAUUGGCCAAAAAGGAUGUUGAUACUGAUACAACUUCCUCGUAGCAACUUCAGUCCUACAGAUUUAUAUGGGGAGGCAAUAAUUAUCGCUGUUGACCUAGAAAGGAUUGACCUAAUUCAAUAUGGGAAGAUGCCACAUGUCACAUGAAGCCGCAUACCACAACAAAUCGCUGUAGCACAGAUAUCUAUGUCACACCUAAAAAGGAAAUUUCACCAGAGGCACAAAGGAUCACCAGGAUUGCAUGGAAUAUUCAGACAUGAUGACAAUAAAAAGCACAAUAGUCCAACACAUCUGUACCUGGAAUUAAGUCGACUGUAGAGAAAUUGUAUUCUUGGCUUGAAAAGAUCCUAAAGUGAUUUUGUUAGCCCGUUGUGGAAGGCAAUUUGAUUUUCCAGUUCUUGUCUCAGCUCUACUGUGCACAAAAAUAACUAGGACAUUAUUCAGCUGAGUUUCUUCUAAAAAGUAUUCUUUUACUAGUGUUCAAGAAACUGUACCCUAAACAGUCGUACUUGCUAUGACACUACUUGGUAUCCGGUACCAUGCCUAUAACUGACAGACAGACAAAUUUACUAUGAAAAACUGGGAAGGCCUGCCAAGGGUUUUCAUAUGUUAAAAAAAAAUUCAAGCAAUGAUGUACACUCAUGAUAAAUUUGGUACCAAAAUGUUCAUUAUCUUAAGUAGAAAAUGACAAUUGUAAUUGGAAGUUUGAAUUGUAUUAUUUUACGCUAUAUUUAAGAAAAUUAAUAUAUUUUAAACUUGUAAAUUUUAUCAUUUGUUAAAAUGUUAUAUUAUAGUUUUAAGCCUUAAUGCCCUCUUUUUACAAUCUGCCUAAAGAAACACUUUAGUUAUUCUUGUUUAUUAUUUAGCCAUUUCCUUGAUUAAAAAUACACAACAAAAUUCAAGCUCAAGACUUUCCAAGGUUGACAAGUUAUUACUUUCUUUGAUUUUGCUUAAGUUUGUUAAUUAUUGUUAAACACUUUUGUUCAGAAUUUAUUAAGGUGUAUAAUGUUAUCUUUUAAUAGUAAAGUAAGGAGAAGACAACCUUUACUGUAAGCUAAUAUAGCUUUCUGUCCAAUGCCUGAAACAUUUUUUGUAAAUAUUUCAUGACUUCCUGAAUAAAGAUGUAUAAUUUAAAACUAUAAGUAAAGUAUAUAAACCCCAAACUUUUAAGGUGCGAGAAGACAAAAUUUCAUUUCAACUCUUGUAAAAAAUUAACUUUGUGAUAUUUUUCUUAGUGAUAAGUUUCUCAGUGAUAACUAGACAUUUAAUUUUAUAUCUGUGUAGAUUUUUGUACAGUUAAUUCAGCUGUAUACAAGACAAUAUUUAUGAAGAUUUUUUUUUAUGUUUUAAGCUACCUAAUUAUUUAUAUAAGAGAAAACUGUUAAAUUUUAAUUACUUCAUAAGUGUACAUGUAAAUCCUGUUUCACUAUACAGUACAACCUCUGAAGAGCAACACCCUUUUGGGGAUACAAAUAUUGACUGUUGUGUAGAGGUUGUUGUCUUGAGAGGUAAAUUUGAUAAUAUAUUUAUUCAGCUUAGGGAAAUUUUGAUGAUGUUGUUAUAGAGGUUUUUGCUUAAGAGAGGACUGCUCUGAAGAGGUUGUACUAUACUUACAUAUUAUUGAGAGCUAAGGGACUCCAUUUGAAAUAAGCAGUAUUGUAACUUUCAUGGUUUAUCCAAGGCGGAAAGAUCGUCAUUUUUUCCUGAUAUUUAUGUAUUAGCUUUAUUACACUUGUAAAGUACAAACAUAAAAGGGUUUACUACAUAUUUAUUAAUUCUAAUAUUUUUGAUUUCUGGACCACUUUGUAUUUCUGUUAUAAUUGGAUCUUAUAUCUGAAUAAAAUUGAAUUGAAUUGAACUGAACUGAAUUCUGAUCUGGAACCAAACUGAACUGAACUGAAUUCUAAACUGAACUGAUUUCUAAACUGGAACCAAACUGAACUGAACUGAAUUUUAAAUUGAACUGAAUUCUAAACUGGAACCAAACUGAACUGAACUGAAUUCUAAACUGGAACCAAACUGAACUGAACUGAGUUUGAAACAGAAACUGAACUGACUUUUGGACUGUUACUGAAUGAACUGAAUUUUGAACUGCAACUAAACUGAACUGAACUGAAUCUGAAACAGAAACUGAACUGAACUGAACUGAAUAUAGCUGGGUAAAAAACUACAGUACAGCUUGCAUUAAGAGACCACCAAAAGGAAGGAAAAAACAUGUUCUCUUUAUGCAACAUAGUUUGUUCUUUGAUAUCAUAAAAAAGAAACUGAAAAGGUGGUCUCUUAAGGUUUAGCAGUAUAUCACAAAAUAACAGAUUUUUUUAGUAAAUGAACAGCACCUUGACGCACAACUUAUCUGUCCAAUGCAUGCUUUACUGUUCUGCCCCGAGAGUUGGAUAGUUAAAAUAUUCUUAAUGAGUUGCCCCCCUUUGAAUAAGAAUGUCAUUUGUAAAGAAAUAAAUGUAAACAAUUGUCAAAAACGAUGUUUACCAAGUUAUGUAAAGUUUAAACACUCGCACGAUGUUGCAAAUGCAUCAAAAUGAAGACAUGUAACAGCUUUUUCAAAAUGGUGAGUUUUUAAAGGCGCUGAACUGUCCAGAAGUGUGGCCCCUUCUUGCAGUCCCUUUCCGGAAUUCAAUACAUACAUUAAUAAAUUGACAAUGGUUUUGUAGAAUAAUAUAAAUGUUUUGUAUGCUGUUAAAUUUUCAUGUAAAACAAUGCUUUCUUUCAAUGAUUUGAUGACGUUCGAACUUUUUUCUCCGAAACAUGGACCUAUACCUUAAUGCAAGAAGCCUCUAAAUCAAAUGUACUUUAUGAAACUUAUUAUGCUUUUGUGCUGCAGAUUUUGUAAUGUAGUUUUGUUUUGUCUAUGAUGAUUUCUCUAAAUAAACUUUAAACAUUU